GACCGAUCAUGGUCUGUGGAUGUGCCUAGAGAAUUGAGGGACCUUCCUCUGUUUGACUCCAUGGGAUGUAUUUACUCCCAAGUAAUCUAAGUUAACCACUCUCUCUCUCUCUCUCUCUCUCUUCAUAUCCAACACCAACACCCUCAUCACGAAUGGUGGAGCUAGGAUUCGGCUUGAGGAACGAAAUUUUAGUUUUGUUCAUAAAAGAGAUAUAACUUUUUGAUCCACUGUAAAAUUCAUAAAGAGAAUUUCUCUUAGCCGUUUAUUAUAUAGGAACAAUGUAUAUCGAAAUGUAAUUCACUCUC
rnacentral:lncRNA from 1 species